rnacentral:rRNA from 1 species
UACGAAGGGGGCUAGCGUUGUUCGGAAUUACUGGGCGUAAAGCGCGCGUAGGCGGUGAUCUUUGUCAGCGGUGAAAGCCUGGGGCUCAACUCCAGAAUUGCCUUUGAAACGGGAUCGCUUGAGUCCGAGAGAGGAUGGCGGAAUUCCUAGUGUAGAGGUGAAAUUCGUAGAUAUUAGGAAGAACACCGGUGGCGAAGGCGGCCAUCUGGCUCGGUACUGACGCUCAGGCGCGAAAGCGUGGGGAGCAAACAGG